CCGUUGGCGAUCUCUGAAGAGGAAACGGACCUGAAUAAUUAUUUGCAUUUAAGCAGGCAGCAUUUGGUAACUUGCAAGUGACCAAAAUGAAGAAAUACAAAUCCUAUCUGCAGGCAUCUGAAAACAACAUUCCAAGAACCACAGAUUACAGGCAAUUGAGACUUGGUAGAGAUAAAGAGAACUAUGGCAGAGUACUUUAUAAAGACUUUGUUUCUACCAGCGAGUCAGAUAUCCCAAGAACAAGUGCAUACCGGAAAAGGAAAACACAGAUUUACAAAGACCAAAAGGACACCAGAGGACACCAGGAGCAUACUGCUAAUUUACAAACAGCACCUGAUGUACGUCAACCACCUCAAAGUCCAAACUGCAAUGCAUUACAGG